GACGAACGCUGGCGGCGUGCCUAAUACAUGCAAGUCGAGCGGACUUGACAGAGCUUGCUCUGUUCAAGUUAGCGGCGGACGGGUGAGUAACACGUGGGCAACCUGCCCUGCAGAUUGGGAUAACUCCGGGAAACCGGGGCUAAUACCGAAUAACAUUGAAAACCUCAUGGUUUUCUUUUAAAAGGCGGCUUCGGCUGUCACUGCAGGAUGGGCCCGCGGCGCAUUAGCUAGUUGGUGAGGUAACGGCUCACCAAGGCGACGAUGCGUAGCCGACCUGAGAGGGUGAUCGGCCACACUGGGACUGAGACACGGCCCAGACUCCUACGGGAGGCAGCAGUAGGGAAUCUUCCGCAAUGGACGAAAGUCUGACGGAGCAACGCCGCGUGAGUGAAGAAGGUUUUCGGAUCGUAAAACUCUGUUGUUAGGGAAGAACAAGUAUCGGAGUAACUGCCGGUACCUUGACGGUACCUGACCAGAAAGCCACGGCUAACUACGUGCCAGCAGCCGCAGUAAAAC
rnacentral:rRNA from 1 species